rnacentral:rRNA from 1 species
UACGUAGGUGGCGAGCGUUGUCCGGAAUCACUGGGCGUAAAGGGCGCGUAGGCGGCCUGAUAAGUAGGGGGUGAAAUCCUGCGGCUUAACCGCAGGGCUGCCUUCUAAACUGUCAGGCUAGAGCACAGUAGAGGCAGGUGGAAUUCCCGGUGUAGCGGUGGAAUGCGUAGAGAUCGGGAAGAACAUCAGUGGCGAAGGCGGCCUGCUGGGCUGUUGCUGACGCUGAGGCGCGACAUCGUGGGGAGCAAACAGG